UCCCAUACAGUUUCCUUAUACCCGAAAUCAAUCAAGAAUCCGGUUCCAAAUUUACACGAUCCCGAGUCCUAUAAAUACCGGCAUCCAUCACCCUUAUUUCGCACACCUCUCACACCACUUUCGUCUUCACCAUAACCGCAACCACUUUCGUCUUCGCCGGAGAAGACAACACAGUCCGGUAACCCUCCGUUCAACCCGCAAAUCCGGCGGAGAGCAUUUUCAGUCGCCGGAGUCCCUGAUCAAUACCGGGCUCACGCCAGAGAAACACGCAACCCAUCGGAGCUCGACUGCAAGUCCGUCUGACCCCGAAGCUUACGUCAGAACUCGUUACGGAUCUUCGUAGAACAAGUUACGCACCAUCGGCACAUUUCAUUGGAGAACCAUAACACUCACUGGAGCCGUCCGAGUCGCACAGGAGCUUACGGUUCGGAGUUCGCCGGAGUUACAUCGGAGAAACCGAAAACGUGUUUGAAGUUUACGUCGGAACACAAUCUUCUUCGUUUCGGUUAAUCACUCGAAAACUCUUGGGUAAUCUCUAAGCUUUAUUCUCUUUCCAAGAAAUCGCAACGCAACUAAUGUAUUGUUAGGUUUAACUAUGUCAACCUACUCAAACUCGUUUGGGUUGAAAGUACAAGAUUCAAGAACCAAGCUAGGAUGAACCCUAGAAACCCACAUAACAUUUGAAUUAUUGUUGAACAAGAUGUUGUAUUGUUUGGAACUAUGUAUUUCACUUUAGAGUUUAUGAAAUGAAUUAAAUAAAUUAUUGUC
rnacentral:lncRNA from 1 species